GGAGGGUGGUCACACACAACAGCAAAAUAAUAAAGUCACAUAAAGCAAAGUCUAUUUAAAGCCAGGAGUAAUGUCACCUUUUUCUCCUUGGUGAAGUAAGUCCAUGGGUCCUGCUUCUAGCCACAGGACACGGAUGCCUCCUGUCUUCAGCUGCGGGUCCCUGCACACUCCUUUACAGGCCUCAGCACGCAGCCCAGCUCACCUCCACUUCUUAC